CCUACGGGUUGCACCAGUGGGGAAUAUCGCACAAUGGGCGCAAGCCUGAUGCAGCCAUGCCGCGUGUAUGAAGAAGGCCCUAGGGUUGUAAAGUACUUUCAGUCGGGAGGAAGGCGUUGAUGCUAAUAUCAUCAACGAUUGACGCUACCGACAGAAGAAGCACCGGCUAACUCCGUGCCAGCAGCCGCGGUAAUACGGAGGGUGCAAGCGUUAAUCGGAAUUACUGGGCGUAAAGCGCACGCAGGCGGUUGAUUAAGUUAGAUGUGAAAUCCCCGGGCUUAAUCUGGGAAUGGCAUCUAAGACUGGUCAGCUAGAGUCUUGUAGAGGGGGGUAGAAUUCCAUGUGUAGCGGUGAAAUGCGUAGAGAUGUGGAGGAAUACCGGUGGCGAAGGCGGCCCCCUGGACAAAGACUGACGCUCAGGUGCGAAAGCGUGGGGAGCAAACAGGAUUAGAUACCCUCGUAGUC
rnacentral:rRNA from 1 species